rnacentral:tRNA from 1 species
GGAGUCGAAGCCACAGCAGACCGGCACCGGACUCUCAAUCCGGCAGGGUGAGGGUGCAACUCCCUCCAGCUCCACCA